UGCGAGUCGAGAGGUGCAAGACCUCGGCGUACUGCUCAGUAACACGUGGAUAACCUACCCUGUGGAGGGGGAUAACCCCGGGAAACUGGGGAUAAUACCCCAUAGGUUAGGGUGGCUGGAAUGCCCCCUAGCUCAAAGGUCCGCCGCCACAGGAUGGGUCUGCGCCCGAUUAGGUUGUUGUUGGGGUAACGGCCCAACAAGCCUUUGAUCGGUACGGGUUGUGGGAGCAAGUGCCCGGAGAUGGAUUCUGAGACACGAAUCCAGGCCCUACGGGGCGCAGCAGGCGCGAAAACUUUACAAUGCGAGAAAUCGUGAUAAGGGAACCCCGAGUGCCCGUAAAUUCGGGCUGUCCGCCAGUGCAAAAAACUGGCGAAGAAAGAGCCGGGCAAGACCGGUGCCAGCCGCCGCGGUAACACCGGCGGCUCGAGUGGUGGUCACUAUUACUGGGCUUAAAGCGUCCGCAGCUUGGUUGUUAAGUCUCUUGGGAAAUCCACCGGCUCAACCGAUGGGCGUCAGGAGAUACUGGCAACCUAGGGACCGGGAGAGGUGAGGGGUACUCCAGGGGUAGGAGUGAAAUCCUGUAAUCCUUGGGGGACCACCUGUGGCGAA
rnacentral:rRNA from 1 species